AGUGGGAUAGCUGGAUCAUAUUGUGGUUCCAUUCCUAGUCUUUUAAGGAAUCUCCAUACUGCUUUCCAAAAUUGUACUAAUUUGCAGUUCCACCAACAAU
rnacentral:pre_miRNA from 1 species